rnacentral:lncRNA from 1 species
CAUCAACAUAGAAUUAGUAAUUUAAAACAUCAUGAACAUCAACAUAUUAUUUCUUCAUUUAACUACACAACUUUUCAAUGCCUCUCAUUAAUUCUAUCACAACUCGAUAACACGACAAUGCUUCGUCGACUUAGAUAACAUGACUCCAACUUAAACAACUUAGACGACUUGACUAUGCGGCGUGCAUGUGGUACCAAUCAGGGCAUCAAGCCCCCAACAAAUUUUGAGCGUAGGCUCACAGGGCAUCAAGCCCCCAACGGGUUUGAGCAUAGGCUCACAGGGCAUCAAGCCCCCAACGGGUUUGAGCAUAAGCUCACAGGGCAUCAAGCCCUCAACUUUAAUGCAUAUGUGGACUCUGUAAAAUGCCAAGACAACCAGCAACUUAAUCAACUUAGACAACUUCUUACAACUCAUAUGACCUUGACUCGACGACAAGGAUUCUACUCCACAACAUCCUAAUUCAUCAUACAACUUCGUAAAUUCAUAUAAAAUUAUUCACAAGGAAUUUUUGUAUCAAACCNNNNNNNNNNNNCAAUUCUGUACCGAUCAGUACCGGAUUUUAUUUCCAAUUCGGGUACAGAGGCUGAAGUUUCACUGUGACCUACGUGCAGUAAUUUGACUAUAACUUACGUUCCAAAAAUGCUUUUGAAGUCAAACCAAAUCCAUUAGAAAGCUAACAGCUUUAUCUACAACUUUCGUGUUUACACCUAAGACCAAUUUCUUACCGAUCAAUACCAGUUGUUAUUUCAAACUCGGGUACAGAAGCUAAAGUUUCACUAAAAUUCACCGUUCAUCAUAAUUUAACCACUUUUUAAUAAUAACCCUUUUUCAUAUAAUCUCCUUAGACUCUCUUAGUUUUUUAGAAAUCAAACACCCAAUAUCACUAAUCAUCUAACAACAGUUAUUCUAACAUGAUUCAGGGGCUUCUUAUUCCAUUAUUAAUCAAAUUCAUAGUUAACCUAGUUUUCCCAAUUUUCAUCAAUUCUCAUACUAAAUCAAUUUUCAGAACUACAUGCUUAUAAUUAAAGUAUAAAUUCUCACCCUUACCUUAGGUUUGAUGAACGAACAAUCCUACAGCUGCUCUUGAUUCUCUAAGCCUCUUCUCUCUUGGUGCCUCUCCCUUUUCUCCAAAACCCUUUUUUUUUUUUUUGUUUUUUACGUGAAAGAGUUUUUCUCUUUUGUGACUUCUAUUUCUUAACCUCCCACUUCCUUAUUUAAUUCCUAAUAAUUCCACUUAAUACUAUUAUUUCCAUCUAACUCCAAUUCCAACCCCUUAACUCUACUUAUUCCCUUUACUACUCUUCUCCUUACAAUUAAU